rnacentral:rRNA from 1 species
AGAUUGAACGCUGGCGGCGUGCCUAACACAUGCAAGUCGAGCGGUAACGCGGGAGCAAUCCUGGCGACGAGCGGCGAACGGGUGAGUAAUACUUCGGAAUCUACCCACGGGUGGGGAAUAACCAGCCGAAAGGUUGGCUAAUACCGCAUACGCCUACCGGGGAAAGGACGGGGACCGGAAAGGACCGUCGCGCAGCAGGAGUGAGCCGAUGUCCGAUUAGCUGGUUGGUGGGGUAACGGGCCCGACCAAGGCGACGAUCGGUA